rnacentral:tRNA from 1 species
GCCCCCGUGGCGGAAACGGAAGACGCGCCAGCAUAGGAUGCUGGUGGCCUUUAGCCUUCCCGGUUCGACACCGGGCGGGGGCACCA